rnacentral:rRNA from 1 species
GUCGCUCUUACCGAUGGACUUCUCUGUGAGUUUGAGGGACUGGAUUGUAUAUCUAUGGAAACUAAAACGAACAGUGUGGUCUAAAGGAAAGAG